rnacentral:rRNA from 1 species
UACGGGAGGGCAGCAGUGGGGAAUAUUGCACAAUGGGCGAAAGCCUGAUGCAGCUAUGCCGCGUGUAUGAAGAAGGCCUUAGGGUUGUAAAGUACUUUCAUCGGGGAGGAAAAAACAAAACUAAUAAUUUUAUUUCUUGACGUUACCCGAAAAAGAAGCACCGGCUAACUCCGUGCCAGCAGCCGCGGUAAUACGGAGGGUGCUAGCGUUAAUCAGAAUUACUGGGCGUAAAGAGCACGUAGGUGGUUUUUUUAAGUCAGAUGUGAAAUCCCUGGGCUUAACCUAGGAACUGCAUUUUGAAACUGAAAUACUAGAGUAUCGUAGAGGGAGGUAGAAUUCUAGGUGUAGCGGUGAAAUGCGUAGAUAUCUGGAGGAAUACCUGUGGCGAAAGCGGCCUCCUAAACGAAUACUGACACUGAGGUGCGAAAGCGUGGGGAGCAAACAGGGAUUAGAUACC